AAAGGGAGACCUGAUUCAGGUAGGAGACGAAAAAAAAGUAGUCCCAACCAAGAAUCAAUCCCAAAAGGUCGGAGCGAGGUAUGAGGCUUUCAAAUUAGGUUCUGGGUUCAUAAAAGACCUGAAUCAGGAACAAGGGCUAUUAGCUCAGGUGGUUAGAGCGCACCCCUGAUAAGGGUGAGGUCCCUGGUUCGAGUCCAGGAUGGCCCACCUGCACAGGUGGCAAAAACAAAGAAAAGAAGCUCCGAAUCAGCACCUUAUCUUACUUAUAUAGUAAGAGAGAAUGCUGGCUCUGAGUUCAGAGUCCAGAGGAACCUUGAAAACUGCAUAGAGCUAGGUGAAAAAGCCAAAAAAGAAGACCGCAAG
rnacentral:tRNA from 1 species